rnacentral:rRNA from 1 species
UACGGAGGGUGCGAGCGUUGUCCGGAAUCACUGGGCGUAAAGGGCGCGUAGGUGGCGCGGGUAGUCGUCGGUGAAAGCUCAGGGCUCAACCCUGAGUCGGCCGGUGAUACUCCCGUGCUUGAGUGUGGUAGAGCCAAUGGAAUUCCGGGUGUAGCGGUGGAAUGCGUAGAGAUCCGGAAGAACACCGGUGGCGAAGGCGGUUGGCUGGGCCACAACUGACACUGAUGCGCGACAGCGUGGGGAGCAAACAGG